GAGGAUUGCGCUUUCCCGCUCGGAUUGCGGUCCACGAUAUUGGGAGUAUAAAUAAAUAAAGCGCGAGGAGAGCGAAAAAGAUAUCGAGAUUCGUAGCUCCAAGGGAUUACCGAUCCAUCCCGCCCUUUUCUCUUGCUCUUAUUUUUAAUCUUAUUUACCGUCCCGUUCGGACGGUAAGCGUAAACUCGAUACGUUAUUGGCUGGCAUCUUAUCGAUGUCUUUACGACCUCUUCUCGACCGGUUCCCCUUACCGUAAAUAAACAGAGAAAAAUCGUUGGGAAACCGUCCUCUUCCCUCCCCUUCCAUCUUUGAAUCCGAUUCGGACGAUCGCUAGUGGAUUUAUCCCGCGAUCAACGCGUUCCAACACGCUCCGUUAUUUUGCGCCAUUCUUCGAAACGGAAACGGAAGUCUCGAAGGACGCCUGGUACAGUUGCGGUAGAAGAGAGCAAUUCUGAUUCGACAAUUGGAGAUUACGUUUAUAAAUCGAAAUAUCGUUAUUUUUGUAUUAAAUCGACGCGUUUCUUUCACUCCAAAUUUUCAGCAGCGACUCGAAAUUUGAUACGUGACUCGGUGGUGAGGUCUUAUCGAGCCUCGAUAAAGGAAUAAGGAAACUGUUUACAAUAUCGUUAUUAAGAAUCAGAGGUAAGGAAGUCUUAAUCGAAAUAUCGUUAUUUUUGUAUUAAAUCGACGCGUUCUUUUCACUCCAAAUUUUCAGCAGCGACUCGAAAUUUGACUCGAUGGUAAGGUCUUACGAGUCUCGGUAAAGAAAUAAGGAAACUGUUUACAAUAUCGUUAUUAAGAAUCGGAGGUAAGGAAGUCUUAAUCGAAAUAUCGUUAUUUUUGUAUUAAAUCGACGCGUUUCUUUCACUCCAAAUUUUCAGCAGCGACUCGAAAUUUGACUCGGUGGUAAGGUCUUACGAGCCUCGGUGAAGAAAUAAGGAAACUGUUUACAAUAUUGUUAUUAAGAAUCGGAGCAGCGACUCGAAAUUUGAUACGUGACUCGGUGGUGAGGUCUUAUCGAGCCUCGAUAAAGGAAUAAGGAUCGAACGAAGGAGACUAUUCACAAAUUGAUACCGGCCCCUUAUUAAGAAUCGGAGUGGCGUGGGACGAAUCGAUGGGAUCGAUGGGAAAGAAAAACGAGACGCGUGGAAGGAGCGGGAAGAAGAAUCCCUUUGAAAACGAUACCGUUCGACGACGUUGCACCACGUCCAAGUGCCUCUUACCUGCACUCGAGGAGCGCACUCUUGCCCCUAAGGGAGUAUGCCGGGACGUUUAUGCCGAGCAGCUUCAACCCCGUCACUGUAACAAAAAGAGGAAACAAAUUUUUCUUUCUUCUCUCCCCUCUUCUUUUUUUUCUUUUCUCAAACGUUCGAAAGCAAAAAAAAAAAAACGCUGCGCACGAACGAACUCCAAACCAAACCAAACCGGGCAUCUUUGCGCUCUCGGCGAGGAGGAGGAGGGAGGAGCCUCUCUUUCCACCGAAAUCCCACUGCCAAACGCU